rnacentral:misc_RNA from 1 species
GAUGAAGAACGUAGCGAAAUGCGAUAAGUAAUGUGAAUUGCAGAAUUCAGUGAAUCAUCGAAUCUUUGAACGCACAUUGCGCCCGCCAGUAUUCUGGCGGGCAUGCCUGUUCGAGCGUCAUUUCAACCAUCAAGCCCCAGGCUUGUGUUGGGGACCUGCGGCUGCCGCAGGCCCUGAAAACCAGUGGCGGGCUCGCUGUCACACCGGGCGUAGUAGAUUUUAUCUCGCUCAGGGCGUGAUGCGGGUCCCGGCCGUUAAAAGCCUUUUUUUACCCAAGGUUGACCUCGGAUCAGGUAGGAAGACCCGCUGAACUUAAGCAUAUCAAUAAGCGGAGGA